ACUCGUAGCAUAAUUGUAUAUUUCAAUAUAUCACAGCCAUACAUUUUUAUAUUCUUUCAGGUGAUUCAGCUUACCCACAGAGGCAAACACUACUGAUGGAUGCACUGACUUUUGGAUGCACCUGUAGGAUCUCCAGAAGCUCGUUAUACCGCUUUACAAGUUCGAGCCCGCAACUGUAUAGAGCGGUGUUUUGGGCGACUAAAAAUCAGUUGGUAGUGUUUGUCGUCAAUGGAGAAACUGCAUUACAAGCCAGCAGCGGCAGCUAAGAUCGUUAAAACGUGUUGUGUGCUUGACAAUAUAGCUAACAAGGCGAAUUGUGAACUGCCUCCGCUGAACCGACACGAAGAACAGGAGCAGCAGCAGGAGCAGAGAUUAGCGGCGGAGUUUGACGCCCGUCAGCAGAAUGCUGAUAUUUAUUUGGCAAUGGCUCCUGACAGGUGUUGGCUAAACAAAGAGCUGCAGCUGGGUCGCGCUGCUCGUCAAGCGCUUGUCCGGCAGUUAGCAAAUUAUUGAUUCUUCAUCGGACCAAGGCCGAUUUGUCCAGGACCAAUUUUCGGAUCUCCUGGGCUUCCUGGAACAAGGACUAGUGAUUGUUUCGAGGAGCUGUCAUGGUGUUGGCUCUUGAUAUUUUAUCGUGAAAUGCAGAUUUAAUGAUGAAGGCGCGUCGGAACCCAAACGUCAAGAAUCGCCGACGUUCACAGAAGCAGCUACAAUGAGCGGAGAAUCUGAGAGCCAGGAAUGCGGAGCACCUUGCUACUACUAAAAUGGAGAACCCGGACCUGUUAGCGACAUGGAACUGACCAGGACCGUCGUGGGCUCCUCAUGUGCCACCCCCGGAUACCUUUUCUGAUUGUGGUGUUUACAGUACAGUAGUGUACAUAUUCAUGAAAAAAAAAUUGUAGGUACUUUUUUUACAUUUUUAAAAAACGCACUCUGCAUGGUUUUGGAGUUUCGACUUCGUGCUAGAUAAAAACCCCCAGGCAAGAGCAAACAAUUUUUUGUUCUAGCCUAUAUUUGUGACCCACUGCAAAGG